rnacentral:rRNA from 1 species
GCCAUUAGUGGAUGCCUAGGAAGUGUUGACCGAAGAAGGACGUUUCUACGGCAGCGAAAAUCGUCGGGGAGCAGCCCAUGAUGCUUUGAUCCGGCGGUGUCCGAAUGGGGAAACCCAUGCCGAUGCAAAUUCGGCAUAACCUUUGCCAUGAAGUUGGUUUCGAUUUAUCGAGAUCAUAUUAGUGGCGGGUAGGGAACCCGGUGAACUGAAACAUCUAAGUAACCGGUGGAAAAGAAAUCAAAGAGAUUCCCUUAGUAGCGGCGAGUGAAAAGGGAUCAGCUCAAACUCCUUUUGCUUCGCAAAAGGAAAUUUCUAAUUUCUAAUUAUUCUAAUUUCUAAUCAAUUUUCUAAUUCUUCAAUGUUCAAUGUUCUAAGUUUUAGUCAUUGCUCAUUGGGUUUUGGUAUUUGAUUAGGUAAAUUAGUAAUUAGGUCAAUUAGGAUUUUCUUCUGCGGAGCAGAAGAAGUGUUGUAGGACGACUUGCUUAAAUGCAAAAGGAUGUUGAAAAAGAUAGUAGAAGGUGCCGGAACUGCACCACCAUAGAAGGUGAUAGUCCUGUAAGCGAAAUUUUUUUCUACGCCUUGUCUGUUCCUGAGUACCAUGGGGCACGAUUAAACCCUGUGGGAAGCCGGGGCGACCAAGCUCCAAAGCUAAAUAUCAGCACUUACCGAUAGUGAACUAGUACCGUGAGGGAAAGGUGAAAAGCACCCCGGGAGGGGGAUGAAAUAGUACCUGAAACUAAUGGCUAACAAGCAGUGAAGGCUUGUGCAUGGCACAAGGCUAAAUUUCUAAUUUCUAAUUAUUCUAAUUUCUAAUCAAGCACCAAUUUUUUAAAGUGUCCAAUUGAUUAGAUCAAUUAGUAAUUAGGUCAAUUAGGUUAAUUUAUCCUCGUGCUGUGCACGAGUGAUCACGUGCCUAUUGAAGAAUGAGCCAGUGAGUUUUUGUUGCCUUCAAGUCUAAGUCGUAUUGCGACGGAGGCGAAGUGAAAGCGAGCCCUAACUGGGCUAUUUAGAAGGUUACAGAAGACCCGAAACCAGGUGAGCUAACCAUGAGCAGGGUGAAUGCCGAUGAAAAUCGGCAGGAGGCCCGAACCCGUUGAUGUAGCAAUAUCAUGGGAUGACUUGUGGUUAGGGGUAAUAUGCCAAUCGAACUUGGAGAUAGCUGGUUCUCCCUGAAAUAUAUUUAGGUAUAGCCUUUAUUUGAUAAAUGUUGGGGGUAGAGCACUGAAUGGUAUCUGGAGAGGAAACUCUUCAGGAUCAAUCAAACUCCGAAUACCAACAUUUUGGAAUAGAGAGUCAGUCCUGCGGCGCUAAGGUCGUGGGUCGAGAGGGAAACAACCCAGACUCCCGUUUAAGGCCUCUAAAUUCAAGCUAAGUUGUUAAGAAAGUCAUGAUCCUCAGACACCUAGGAGGUUGGCUCAGAAGCAGCCAUCCUUUAAAGAAAGCGUAACAGCUCACUAGUCGAUUUGGGAUUGUGGCGUCGAAAAUGAUCGAGGAUUAAGCUUGAUGCCGAAGACGGAGGUGUUCCGGUUUUACGACCGGAAUGCAGUAAGGGAGCGUCCCGCCAGCUUUGAAGGUGAGCCGUAAGGCUUGCUGGAGUAGGCGGGAGUGAGAAUGCUGGCAUGAGUAGCGAUUAUUCCGAUGAGAAAUCGGAACGCCGAAAGUCUAAGGUUUCCUUCGCAAUGUAAGUCAGCGAAGGGUUAGUCGGCUCCUAACGGUGGCCCGUGUGAAACGCGGGGUAGCCGGAUGGACGAGUCGUUAAAAUUCGACUACAGGUUUUGAUGCGUUUACCCCCGCAAGGGGGUUAUCACCUGGGGAUUAACCAGGGUGGAAGAGAUCGCCCCGCUUGCGGGGUUUAAGCCAUAAAAUAGUUUUGAUAGGGAAAUCCGUCAGAAUGUUAAAUUGAGUGGCGAGUACGAGUUUGAAAGGGAAACUGAGUAGGACGAGGAUCUAUCUUUCAGCCUGCGAGAAAAGAUUCACAGGGAGUGUCAAGUCUUGCCGUACCGCAUUACCGACACAGGUAGACUGGUGGAGAACACCAAGGCGAUCGGGAGAAGAAUGUUCAAGGAACUCGGCAAAAAAGCUGGGCGUAACCUUUGGGAGAUGCCCUGCCAGGUACCAGCCGGUAUCCUGGCCGCAGCGAAAGUUUGCUUAGCGACUGUUUAUCUAAAACACAGGUCCCUGCAAAGCCGAAAGGCAAAGUAUAGGGGCUGACACCUGCCCAGUGCUGGUAAGUCAAUGAUGGUGAGUGAAGCUCGUAAGAGUCAGCUCGUUAUCAAAGCUCCAGUGAACGGCAGCAGUAACUAUAACUGUUCUAUGGUAGCGAAGUUCCUUGUCGGGUGAGUUCCGACCCGCACGAAAGGUAGAACGACUGAGCAACUGUCUUGAACAUUUACCCGGCGAAAUUGAGAUGGCUGUGAAGACGCGGCCUGGUUGUCCUAGGACAAAAAGACCCCGGGAGCUUUACUGUAGCUUCGCAUUUGAAAGCUUUUUUCAACUGUCGAGAAUAGGAGGGACCCCGCCGCAAGGCGGGGGUCAGUGAAAUACCUCUCUUUGAAAUGGGUAAUCAUUAUUCUUAUCCCGCAUAAAAAUCCGGGAAGAAAACAGUGCGUGGUGGGCAGUUUAACUGGGGAGGUUGACUCCUAAAUUGCAACGGAGUUGUACAAAGGUUGGCUUAACGCGGAUGGAAAUCGCGUUGUAAGUGCAUAGGCAUAAGCCAGCUUGACUGUGAGACUCACAAGUCGAGCAGGUACGAAAGUAGGUCUAAGUGAUCCUGCGUUCCUUAUUGGUCGGGACGCAGCUUAACGGAUAAAAGCUACCCCGGGGAUACAAUUUACUGUGUCCGGGUCUUAUGGUAACAUAAGGCCAGGCAUACGGCUAAUAACGGUGGAGCCCUCUUGCUUUGGUUUUGGUCUUUUCCAUAAUCGAGGGAGGCAAAGGGUAAUACCGUGGGAAGUCUUCAGUUAUCGGUUCUCGGUUUUCAGUGUUCGGAAUCUGGUCUAUCAGUUUGCAGUUUAUCAGACUGACAAACAGACAACCGGUAAACGAAUAUCUGACAACCGACAACAGAAAACAGAUAACCGUCGACCCCGUAUCGACUGAUGUUCCAUUCAUGGAACUGAGAUAGAAGUUGUUUCUUGUUACAUUAACAAGAAAAUUUAUGACUUUUAUCACACGCCGUACUCCCGAUUUUAUCGGGAUGAAGAUAUAGUCAGUGCAGCAAGAAAUUGCUGAUUUGUCAUUCCGAUUUAAUCGGAAUAACAUGAACAGGCUGAUCGCCUCCAAGCGUCCAUAGCGACGAGGCGGUUUGGCACCUCGAUGUCGGCUCAUCUUAGCGCGGGGGUGAAGAAGCUCCCAAGCGUCGGGCUGUUCGCCCGUUAAAAAGGUACGCGAGCUGGGUUCAGAACGUCGUAAGACAGUAGACCUAUGGUUAAUAGACAAUUACCAUAAAAGAGCUGUCUCUCUUCAGCGUUUUGUAACUAAAGAGGAAAAUUGAAGAGCCCCGAUUUUAUCGGGGAUAAAUCUUGCUAUAUGCUGGAAACUCCGAGUAUUCUAAGCUACUUGACAAGCACAGUAAAUAGAGAUAAUCUAUCUCUAUGUCAAGUAAAAAAGCUUUAGAUGCGGACAAUCAGCAGGCAAUUGAGAAUAAAGUUUCAAACGAAUAUCUGAGUGGUUUUGUAGACGGUGAAGGGUGUUUUUAUGUAGGAUUUGGGAAACGAGAAGAUCUCCCGCUUAAAUGGCAAAUAAUAACAGAAUUCCACUUAAGUCAAAAUCCUGGAGGGAAGAACGUUCUUGAAGAAUUUUCUAGAAGAUUAGGUUGUGGUUAUUUAAAACCUAACCAUCCAGGAAGUUCAAAAGAUAAAUCUUGGGUCUUAAUUGUUAAAGACAGAAAGAAUUUAAAAGAGAAAUUAAUUCCCUUUUUUAAGAAAUACCCAUUACAUACAUCGAAAAGAGUAGAGUUAUCGAUUUUUGAGUUCGUGCUUUCACUGAUAGAAAAGAAAGAGCAUUUAACUCGAGAAGGAUUUCAACAAAUAGUUGAAAAAGUAUUUCAAAACCCACGAGUUACCAAUAAAAGAUAUUCAAAAGAAGUUUUAUUGUCUUAAGAGCCUCAGAGACUAUACGCAAGAUCCCAUCCCAUUAGAUAAUUUAUCUAACGGGACGGGAAAGAUAUAGUCCGAACUGCAUAGCGAUAUGCAGAGUCUACUAGAAAUAGUAGACCGUGUUCGCCUUAGGCGGACUAGUAACAUUAUUGUCGGUCUCUAUCCAGGACAACCGAUUUGAGAUUUGAAGGGAGCUGUCCCUAGUACGAGAGGACUGGGAUGGGGGAAUCCCUGGUGUGCCGGUUGUGUGAAAACACGCAGCGCCGGAUAGCUAGAUUCCCAUGGGAUAACCGCUGAAAGCAUCUAAGUGGGAAGCCCACCCUAAGAUAAGAUCUCUUUGGCCCCUCCGAAACCAGGAGGUUGAUAGGUAGCAGGUGUAAGACCGGUAACGGUUUCAGCUUAGCUAUACUAAUAGGCC